GAGGGGAUAGCUCAUGUGGCAGAGUGCGUGCUUAGAAAGCAGGACGUCCUGGGUUCAAUCCCCAGCACCUCCA
rnacentral:tRNA from 1 species